rnacentral:rRNA from 1 species
CAGUCGCCGCGGGAAUACGAAGGGGGCUAGCGUUGCUCGGAAUUACUGGGCGUAAAGCGUGCGCAGGCGGUUUUGUAAGACAGGCGUGAAAUCCCCGGGCUCAACCUGGGAAUGGCGCUUGUGACUGCAAAGCUAGAGUGCGGCAGAGGGGGAUGGAAUUCCGCGUGUAGCAGUGAAAUGCGUAGAUAUGCGGAGGAAUACCGAUGGCGAAGGCAGCCCCCUGGGCCAAUACUGACGCUCAUGCACGAAAGCGUGGGGAGCAAACAGGAUUAGAUACCCCUGUAGUCCCUGUCUCUUAUAC